CUUUAACUGGGAUGCCCACUCAGAAUUGGGUGGUUCUCGAAACUGACCACUGAGAGCUUUCCAGUGUCCCUAUAUUUACAGUAAAGAGUCUUUAUAAAUAAUUCUGUAAUUACAUAGCUAUGUAUUUGAAGCUAAAAAGAAACACAUCUGCCAAAUUCAACCAGUCACAAAUUACUGCAAUUUUGCAUGAGUGGUCAAAAAUACAGACAAUAAUUCUAAGCUUGUCUGUGUAGCAAGGCUGCUAUUUCC